rnacentral:rRNA from 1 species
UACGUAGGGUGCGAGCGUUGCCCGGAUUUAUUGGGCGUAAAGGGCGCGCAGGCGGCUACGCACGUCCGUUGUGAAAUCGCUCGGCUCAACUGGGCGGGGUCAGCGGAUACGGCGUAGCUGGAGCAAGCUAGGGGGCAAUGGAAUUCCCGGUGUAGUGGUGGAAUGCGUAGAUAUCGGGAGGAACACCAGUGGCGAAGGCGGUUGCCUGGAGCUUUGCUGACGCUGAGGCUGCGAAAGCGUGGGGAGCGAACAGG